GAAGAGGACGGCUUUCUGGUAUGGCGCGGCCUUUGUCUCUUGCUGCCGCUGGAGCUCCAGAUCUCUUGUUCACUGCUCUGUGUUCUCUGCUCAUAGAGGCCCAGCCUCUGAGGCCCUUUGACCUGCAGGUAUUGGGAGAUCCACAGCCAAGAGCCAGGACCCCCUAGAAGUCUAGAAAUGAACUGAUCACCUGUCUGGAGCAAGGAAAAAAACCUCUGACCGUGAAGAGACAUGAGAUGAUUGCCAAACCCCCAGUUAUUUGUUCUCAUUUUGCCCAAGAACUUUGGCUAGAGCAGAACAUAAAAGAUUCUUUUCAAAAAGUGAUACUGAGAAGAUAUAAAAAAUGUGGACAUGGCAAUUUACAGUUAAAAAAAGGAUGUGAAAGUGUGGAUGAGUGUAAGGUGCAAAAAAGAGGUUAUAAUGGGCUUAACCAAUGCUUGACAACUACCCAUUGCAAAAUAUUUCAAUGUGAUAAAUAUGUGAAAGUCUUUCAUCAAUUUUCAAAUUCAAACAGACAGAAGACGUACUGUAAAAAAACCUUUGAAACAUAUAGAAUGUGGCAAAUCUUUUAACCAGUCCUCAACCCUUACUACACAUAAGAAAAUUCAUACUGGAGAGAAACCCUACAAAUGUGAA